UGGGGAAUAUUGCACAAUGGGCGCAAGCCUGAUGCAGCAACGCCGCGUGAGGGAUGACGGCCUUCGGGUUGUAAACCUCUUUUAGUAGGGAAGAAGCGAAAGUGACGGUACCUGCAGAAAAACGCACCGGCUAACUACGUGCCAGCAGCCGCGGUAAUACGUAGGGUGCGAGCGUUGUCCGGAAUUAUUGGGCGUAAAGAGCUCGUAGGCGGUCUGUCGCGUCUGCUGUGAAAAUCCCCGAGGCUCAACCUCGGGCCUGCAGUGGGUACGGGCAGACUAGAGUGCGGUAGGGGAGAAUGGAAUUCCUGGUGUAGCGGUGGAAUGCGCAGAUAUCAGGAGGAACACCGAUGGCGAAGGCAGUUCUCUGGGCCGUAACUGACGCUGAGGAGCGAAAGCGUGGGGAGCGAACAGGAUUAGAUACCCUGGUAGUCCACGCCGUAAACGUUGGGCGCUAGAUGUGGGGACCAUUCCACGGUUUCCGUGUCGCAGCUAACGCAUUAAGCGCCCCGCCUGGGGAGUACGGCCGCAAGGCUAAAA
rnacentral:rRNA from 1 species